rnacentral:tRNA from 1 species
GGGGAUAGCUCAGUGGUGGAGCAUGUGCUUAGCAUACAGAAGUUCCUGGGUUCAAUCCCCAGUGGCUCCA